rnacentral:rRNA from 1 species
AGUGAACGCUGGCGGUAGGCCUAACACAUGCAAGUCGAACGGCAGCACAGUAAGAGCUUGCUCUUACGGGUGGCGAGUGGCGGACGGGUGAGGAAUACAUCGGAAUCUACUUUUUCGUGGGGGAUAACGUCGGGAAACUUACGCUAAUACCGCAUACGACCUACGGGUGAAAGCAGGGGAUCUUCGGACCUUGCGCGAUUGAAUGAGCCGAUGUCGGAUUAGCUAGUUGGCGGGGUAAAGGCCCACCAAGGCGACGAUCCGUAGCUGGUCUGAGAGGAUGAUCGGCCACACUGGAACUGAGACACGGUCCAGACUCCGACGUGAGGCAGCAGUGGGGAAUAUUGGACAAUGGGCGCAAGCCUGAUCCAGCCAUACCGCGUGGGUGAAGAAGGCCUUCGGGUUGUAAAGCCCUUUUGUUGGGAAAGAAAAGCAGCAGGUUAAUACCCCGCUGUUCUGACGGUACCCAAAGAAUGAGCACCGGCUAACUUCGUG